rnacentral:rRNA from 1 species
AGGAUCAUUAUUGAAAUAAACUUGAUAAGUUGCUGCUGGUUCUCUAGGGAACAAUGUGCACACUUGUCAUCUUUGUAUCUUCACCUGUGCACCUUUUGUAGACCUGAUUAUCUCUCUGAAUGCUUUAUAGCACUCAGGAUUGAGGAUUGACUUCUUGUCUCUUCUUACAUUUUCAGGUCUAUGUUUCUUCAUAUACCCCAAUGUAUGUUUAUAGAAUGUAAUUAAUGGGCCUUUGUGCCUAUAAACCUUUACAACUUUCAGCAACGGAUCUCUUGGCUCUCGCAUCGAUGAAGAACGCAGCGAAAUGCGAUAAGUAAUGUGAAUUGCAGAAUUCAGUGAAUCAUCGAAUCUUUGAACGCACCUUGCGCUCCUUGGUAUUCCGAGGAGCAUGCCUGUUUGAGUGUCAUUAAUAUUAUCAACCUUUUGGGUUGGAUUUGGGUUUGCUGGCCUCUAUCAGGUCAGCUCCCCUUAAAUGCAUUAGCAGACAACAUUUUGCCAAAUGUUCAUUGGUGUGAUAAUUAUCUACGCUAUUGACAUGAAGCAAAGGUUCAGCUUCUAACUGUCCAUUACUUGGACAACUUUAUUAAUGUGACCUCAAAUCAGGUAGGACUACCCGCUGAACUUAA